GGAUGUGAGGGUGAUCUGACUGCAGCCUCUAUCAACUGUCACCCCACUGAUCAUUACGGUUGAUUCAGCUGAUCUGGCUGGCCCUUCCUCCCUCCUGAAGUUGUAUAUUUGGUUGGAUGACCCAGAUGGUCAAGGGUCUACGAAUAGCUGCACUCCCCUGCUAGAACCUCUAAGCAAGCUCUCAGAAAGCCUCAUUUCAUAGACAAGACCCCGAAGGUAGAAUGGAGAUAGUCUGUGAAAUACAUUUCCAUGUAAAGGCUCUCCUCCAAAGGGAAGGUCUUAU
rnacentral:snRNA from 1 species